GAUGAACGCUGGCGGCGUGCCUAAUACAUGCAAGUCGAGCGAACAGACGAGGAGCUUGCUCCUCUGACGUUAGCGGCGGACGGGUGAGUAACACGUGGAUAACCUACCUAUAAGACUGGGAUAACUUCGGGAAACCGGAGCUAAUACCGGAUAAUAUAUUGAACCGCAUGGUUCAAUAGUGAAAGACGGUUUUGCUGUCACUUAUAGAUGGAUCCGCGCCGCAUUAGCUAGUUGGUAAGGUAACGGCUUACCAAGGCAACGAUGCGUAGCCGACCUGAGAGGGUGAUCGGCCACACGGGAACUGAGACACGGUCCAGACUCCUCCGGGAGGCAGCAGUAGGGAAUCUUCCGCAAUGGGCGAAAGCCUGACGGAGCAACGCCGCGUGAGUGAUGAAGGUCUUCGGAUCUUAAAACUCUGUUAUUAGGGAAGAACAAAUGUGUAAGUAACUAUGCACGUCUUGACGGUACCUAAUCAGAAAGCCACGGCUAACUACGUG
rnacentral:rRNA from 1 species